GAGGGGAUGUGUAUCAGCUUACAGAAAUGACAGUUAAAAAGAUAACUGUCACACUGUUUACUGAUGAGGUUUCUAUUUGUCUUAACGUUUAGACGUUAAAUGAAAAACGGAUUGUGGAUUACAGCCUAAGCGUUUUUGAGGCUGAGUUUAACAUAACAACUUGUGGCCAAUGGAGGUAGCACUAAAGGUAGAACCAACUAGUCAGAAGUCCUCUGGUGAGGUGCAUUGGUUGGUGCCUUGCAAAUUAGACUGACAGAAGACAGAUUAACAGGGCACUCCAUUUUCAGAAGAGGGAUAUUCAAGGGUCAUGCUGGAGUUAAGAAAUUCAGUGUCCAGAUGUUUCAGAAUCCAGAUGGCCUAUGAAUCCUCUAUCACCCAGAAAGGAGGAAAAUAUGCAUGAAAGUGGAACACUGAAAAGAAAAAAAAUAAUUUAGUGUUGGCAAUGUAAUGGUGACAUACAGGGCUCAAGGAAAAGCUUCCUUUCCUAAAGCAGCAACUUAAUAAAGUGCAUGUUGUAGGCUCUAUCAGCAAGCCAGAUUUUCA